UAACGUCCGCUUCCACGCCACCGUCGCUUUCCACCCACCCUACACGCCCAACACAACCGAAGAAGGAUAUCCUCCCCCUUCCUCUCUCUCUCUCUCUCUCUCUCUCUGGGGAUCCAAUGGAACCCCCACUCGGUGAAUCUUUCGGAAGGGGUUUGUUGUUGCUCAAUCGAAUCGGAGAACCCAAUCGAGAAUGAACUCAUCAGGUUUCCACAGUAGAGUGUUGCAUCAGAUGAUCUGAUCCUCCUGAAUAGCUGAAGGUUCUAAUGCUACUUAAGAUUCUUCUGACGGCCACAGCAACUACUGCAGGAAACAAAGUUUGUUUUGUGAGUGACGAAGAAGAUUUACGGAGAGCUUCACUACUGCUGCUAAAAGGGAGUUUGUUAUAUAAUCUGAUAAGAGUUACACUUAGAAAGAACACACACAUUCAUUCGACCCUUACGAGGAUGUUAAUAAUCGGCAACCGUUCUAAAAGCAUUUACAAGGAGAGGCACGUUCCUACAUUCCUC